rnacentral:rRNA from 1 species
AAGCGUGCGCAGGCGGUUAUAUAAGACAGAUGUGAAAUCCCCGGGCCUCAACCUGGGAACUGCAUUUGUGACUGUAUAGCUGGAGUGCGGCAGAGGGGGAUGGAAUUCCGCGUGUAGCAGUGAAAUGCGUAGAUAUGCGGAGGAACACCGAUGGCGAAGGCAAUCCCCUGGGCCUGCACUGACGCUCAUGCACGAAAGCGUGGGGAGCAAACAGGAUUAGAUACCCUUGU